rnacentral:rRNA from 1 species
GACGAACGCUGGCGGCGUGCUUAACACAUGCAAGUCGAACGAAGAGCGAUGGACGCUUGCUUCUAUCAAUCUUAGUGGCGAACGGGUGAGUAACGCGUAAUCAACCUGCCCUUCAGAGGGGGACAACAGUUGGAAACGACUGCUAAUACCGCAUACGAUCUAACCUCGGCAUCGAGGAUGGAUGAAAGGUGGCCUCUAUUUAUAAGCUAUCACUGAGGGGGGGGAUGUCGUCUGAUUAGCUAGUUGGGGGGGUAACGGCCCACCAAGGCGAUGAUCAGUAGCCGGUCUGAGAGGAUGAACGGCCACAUUGGGACUGAGACACGGCCCAGACUCCUACGGGAGGCAGCAGUGGGGAAUCUUCCGCAAUGGACGAAAGUCUGACGGAGCAACGCCGCGUGAGUGAUGACGGCCUUCGGGUUGUAAAGCUCUGUUAAUCGGGACGAAAGGCCUUCUUGCGAAUAGUUAGAAGGAUUGACGGUACCGGAAUAGAAAGCCACGGCUAACUACGUG